CUCGGUGGAAAGACUUUCAGAU
rnacentral:piRNA from 1 species